GUGGCGACGUUUGUAUAAAUAAAGAAAAUUCCGUCCAACACCUCAAAAAUAAAGUUUUCACGAUAAUAAUAUUUGUACAAAUGUAAGAAUAUAAAAUACAACAUAAAAUUUAAAGUCUUCCUUGAAUGUCACUCCCGAUGAGUAUUAUCAAUAACCUGUAUAAACACUUGUAAUAAAAUAUUAGUAACAAAUAGAUAAUUAUUAAAAUAAGUUUAAAAGGUAUGUAAAAAUAUGAUUUUUGUUAAAAUGUGGGCUUAGAUUAAAUUUUAAAUACGCUAUGGCUACAAAGUAGUUGCUCAAUUGAUUGACCGUCCUAAAUCGUCUUGCCAAAAUACGAAUUGUAAAAUUUUUUGUGUUGUUAUAAAAAUUUCGUCAUCGCUCGAAUUUAUUUAUUUUACUACAUAUUUAUAUACGUAAUAUCCGUCUUUAGACGAAAUAUUUCUUCAUCAACCAAAAUAGAGUGCUAUUCAUUUGUUAUCAGUCAAACACAUCCACAAAAGUCUAACAGUCCCAAAUUUUCAAAGACAGUCAUGAGCAGAAUAGUACUAUAAAAAAAUUGAAAAAUUAUCAAAUGUUCAUAAAAAUAAAAAUCAAACCAAAUAUCAAAACAAGUAGUAAAAUAUAGCAACAAUCAACAACAUAACCACAGAUGAAUUCUGAAAUAGUGAUGUUAAUUCAAAUAUUGUCAUGAUUUAAUGAUGAUGUAAUAUCAAAGUAGUGCAUUUUCGACAAAACCAUAGCAAAGGAGAGAGGUGACCGGUGUUGCUUCAAUGGAGUUUCACCGGAGCAACGCCGGAAAAAAUAAAAAUAUGGCCAGAUCUGGCCCAUUUUUCGGCGGCCAGUGGCAAAAGAAAAGAAUGGAGGUGAAGGGGCAGUGUGUGGCGGUGUGGCUAGUGGCUGGAAGCUCGCCGGUGGUCAAAUCCAGUGAAGCGCGGCGGCGGGUGAGAGAGGAAAAGAGGAAGCUGGUGUUUUUUUCGCCGGCGUUGGUGGUUUUGGUUGGUGGUUUGUGCGGCUGCUUGAGAGGAAGGGUGAUGCGGUUGGUGAGGGGGAAAGGAGUGGUGGCGUCAUGGUGGUUCGCCGGAGACCGGCGGUGGAGUAGCCAUGGAUGAUGACUUAGUCUUCAGAGAGAGAUGAGAGAGAGGGAGUAGAGAGAGAGGAACACGCGUGUGUUUGUGUGUUGUGUGAUAUUUAAAAAGGUAAAAAUAAUAAAAAAAUAAUAUUUAUUUC
rnacentral:lncRNA from 1 species